UCCCUGGGGGUGUACCUUUGGGGUAUAUAUGUCCAACUUUGCAGUUAAGAGUUCUGGUUUUUAACUGGAGUCCCAUAGUAAUCAACAACACCACCUCCUUUUACUCUCAAGGAGUUAAAGUUUGGACAAUCGUGUUAUUCUAUCCACAGUGAGUACAAAAUAUGCUAGAGAAGGAUAGAGUGAAGCUUUCUCUCUGCUUUCUGGUGUGCUAUCUUGAGCUACUUUCCUCUGACACUCCCUUCUGCCAUAAUGGUCUGUCUUCCUCAUCUCUGGCCCAGAACAAUGGAGCCAGGGUUCCAUGGACUGAGAUCUCUGCAACAGUGGGC
rnacentral:lncRNA from 1 species